rnacentral:rRNA from 1 species
ACCGGAACGGCUGAAGUAACACGGUGGACAACUGCCCUUUGCACUGGGAUAGCCUCGGGAAACCGAGGUUAAUACCGGAUACUCCAUAUUUGUCGCAUGGCGAAUAUGGGAAAGCUCCGGCGGCAAAGGAUGGGCCCGCGGCCUGUUAGCUAGUUGGUGGGGUAGUGGCCUACCAAGGCAAUGAUGGGUAGCCGGGUUGAGAGACCGACCGGCCAGAUUGGGACUGAGACACGGCCCAGACUCCUACGGGAGGCAGCAGAC